rnacentral:misc_RNA from 1 species
UACGUAGGGUGCAAGCGUUAUCCGGAUUUACUGGGCGUAAAGUGUAUCGUCGGCGACUCGAUAAGUCUCUUGUUUAAACUCAGGGCCCAACUCUGAGAUUGCUGGGGAAACUAUCGAGAUAGAGUCUGUUCGGGGGAACUGGAACACUCAGUGGAGGGGUGAAAUCCGUAGAUAUUGAGUGGAACACCAACGGCGAAGGCAGGUUCCUAGGGCAGCACUGACGCUCAUGAACGACAGCUAGGGGAGCAAAAGGG